GUGGGGAAUCUUCCGCAAUGGACGAAAGCCUGACCCAGCAACGCCGCGUGAGGGAAGAAGGUUUUCGGAUUGUAAACCUCUGUCCUAUGGGAAGAAGGAAGUGACGGUACCAUAGGAGGAAGCCCCGGCUAACUACGUGCCAGCAGCCGCGGUAAUACGUAGGGGGCGAGCGUUGUCCGGAAUGACUGGGCGUAACGGGCGCGUAGGCGGCCUGGUAAGUCUGGAGUGAAAGUCCUGAUUUUAAGGUGGGAAUUGCUUUGGAUACUGUCGGGCUUGAGUGCAGGAGAGGUAAGUGGAAUUCCCGGUGUAGCGGUGAAAUGCGUAGAGAUCGGGAGGAACACCAGUGGCGAAGGCGACUUACUGGACUGUAACUGACGCUGAGGCGCGAAAGUGUGGGGAGCAAACAGGAUUAGAUACCCCUGUAGUCC
rnacentral:rRNA from 1 species